UGAAUACGAGAUGCUACGGCGUCGAAGCAGUCUAUGUCAUACUUCCAAGAAAAGCUUGCACUGUCAUAAACAAAUAAUGCCUGUACCAUAACCGACACAGGUGGGUAGGUAGAGUAUACUAAGGGGCGCGAGAUAACUCUCUCUAAGGAACUCGGCAAAAUGACUCCGUAACUUCGGGAGAAGGAGUGCCUUAUUUAUAAGGUUGCAAUAACAAGAUCCAAGCAACUGUUUACCAAAAACACAGGUCUCCGCCAAGUCGUAAGACGAUGUAUGGGGGCUGACGCCUGCCCAGUGCCAGAAGGUUAAAGAAGUUGGUUAGCAUCCGCGAAGCUGAUAACUGAAGCCCUGGUGAACGGCGGCCGUAACUAUAACGGUCCUAAGGUAGCGAAAUUCCUUGUCGGGUAAGUUCCGACCCGCACGAAAGGCGUAAUGAUUUGGAUACUGUCUCGGAGAGGGGCUCGGUGAAAUAGACUUGUCUGUGAAGAUGCGGACUACCUGCACCAGGACAGAAAGACCCUAUGAAGCUUUACUGUAACCUGAAAUUGAAAUUGGACUUUACUUGCGCAGUAUAGGUGGGAGGCGUUGAGAAUAUUCUUGCGGGAUUAUUGGAGCCAUCAGUGAGAUACCACUCUUGUAAUGUUAGAUUUCUAACUUUGUAUCAUUAUCUGGUCAAAGAACAGUUUCAGGCGGGCAGUUUGACUGGGGCGGUCGCCUCCUAAACGGUAACGGAGGCGCACAAAGGUUUCCUCUGAACGGGUAGAAAUCGUAUCUAGAGUGUAAAGGCAUAAGGAAGCUUGACUGUGAGACCUACAAGUCGAGCAGGGACGAAAGUCGGUCUUAGUGAUCUGACGGUGCUGAGUGGAAAGGCCGUCACUCAACGGAUAAAAGUUACUCUAAGGAUAACAGGCUGAUCUCCCCCAAGAGUUCACAUCGACGGGGAGGUUUGGCACCUCGAUGUCGGCUCAUCGCAUCCUGGGGCGGUAGUACGUCCCAAGGGUUGGGCUGUUCGCCCAUGAAAGCGGUACACGAGCUGGGUUCAGAACGUCGUGAGACAGUUCGGUCCAUAUCCGGUGUAGGCGUUAGAAUAUUGAGAGGAGCCUUCUUUAGUACGAGAGGACCGAGAAGGACAUACCUCUGGUGUACCAGUUAUCGUGCCAACGGUAAACGCUGGGUAGCUAUGUGUGGAGUGGAUAACCGCUGAAAGCAUCUAAGUGGGAAGCCCACCUCAAGAUAAGUAUUCUC
rnacentral:rRNA from 1 species